GUAAGGGGUAGCUGUGAGCGUUGGAGGUGGGGUUGUAGGGAUGUAAGGGGUAGUUGUGAGCGUUGGAGGUGGGGUUGUAAGGAUGUAAGGGGUAGUUGUGAGCGUUGGAGGUGGGGUUGUAGGGAUGUAAGGGGUAGUUGUGAGCGUUGGAGGUGGGGUUGUAAGGAUGUAAGGGGUAGUUGUGAGGGUCGGAGGUGGGGUUGUAUGGAUUUAAGUGGUAGUUGUGAAGGUUGGAGGUGGGGUUGGGAUGUAAGGUGUGGUCGAGGGUAGAGGUUGUGACUAUGGGGAUACUAGCCGUGGUUUUGGGGGUAAAGGGUGUGGUUGUAAGGGUUGGAGGUGGA